CAGGCUCAGGACGAACGCUGGCGGCGUGCUUAACACAUGCAAGUCGAGCGGUAAGGCCUUUCGGGGUACACGAGCGGCGAACGGGUGAGUAACACGUGGGUGAUCUGCCCUGCACUCUGGGAUAAGCCCGGGAAACUGGGUCUAAUACCGGAUAUGACUGUCCCAUGCAUGUGGGGUGGUGGAAAGAUUUAUCGGUGCAGGAUGGGCCCGCGGCCUAUCAGCUUGUUGGUGGGGUAAUGGCCUACCAAGGCGACGACGGGUAGCCGACCUGAGAGGGUGACCGGCCACACUGGGACUGAGACACGGCCCAGACUCCUACGGGAGGCAGCAGUGGGGAAUAUUGCACAAUGGGCGGAAGCCUGAUGCAGCGACGCCGCGUGAGGGAUGAAGGCCUUCGGGUUGUAAACCUCUUUCAGCAGGGACGAAGCGUGAGUGACGGUACCUGCAGAAGAAGCACCGGCUAACUACGUGCCAGCAGCCGCGGUAAUACGUAGGGUGCGAGCGUUGUCCGGAAUUACUGGGCGUAAAGAGUUCGUAGGCGGUUUGUCGCGUCGUUUGUGAAAACCCGGGGCUCAACUUCGGGCUUGCAGGCGAUACGGGCAGACUUGAGUGUUUCAGGGGAGACUGGAAUUCCUGGUGUAGCGGUGAAAUGCGCAGAUAUCAGGAGGAACACCGGUGGCGAAGGCGGGUCU
rnacentral:rRNA from 1 species